GGCUAGCCUGAAGGUAGUGAGUUAUCUCAAUUGAUUGUUCCCAGUCAGUUACAGAUUGAAUUCCUUGUUCUACUCUUUCCCCCUUCUCAUGACUGUACUUGACCAGUCUUAA
rnacentral:Y_RNA from 1 species